AUGGCCGCUCCACCGUCAUAUGCCCGCAUUCCCAACAUCAUCGUCCUCCUACUCCUAGCACUCUCUGCCAUCUCUGUUUCCUCCUGUUCGAGUCCAUCCAACGGCAGCGACACGGACCUCUCUGCGCUGCUGGCUUUCAAAGCCCAGCUCGCCGACCCUCGUCGUGUCCUUGCCGGCAGCUGGACCGGCACGUCCUUCUGCCACUGGAUAGGUGUCUCGUGCAGCCGCCGGCGGCAGCGCGUCACGGCUCUAACAUUGGUAGACACGCCUCUUUCUGGACCUAUUGCUCCCCACUUUGGUAAUCUCUCUUUCCUCUCUGUUCUUACUCUCAGGGGCACCAACCUUACGGGUUCCAUCCCUCCGGAGCUUGGCAAGCUAUGUCGGCUUCGAUAUCUUAGCCUUGAUGAAAAUAGCCUGUCAGAUGUCAUUCCUGCUGCCAUAGGGAACCUCACAAGGCUCGAGUUCCUUAGUCUAAGUUUUAACCAACUCACGGGCCAAAUCCCAUCUGAGGUGUUUGUUCGUAUGCAGAAACUUGAGACAAUUUCUCUGGAAGUUAAUAAGUUGAGUGGGCAGAUACCACCUUAUUUAUUCAAUAACACGCCUUCCCUGAGCUUCAUAUACUUUGGAAAAAACAGCAUGUCAGGUCCGAUACCACAUGGCAUAGCCUCCCUAUCCAAACUUACAUACUUGCAGCUGCAGCACAACCAGUUCUCCGGCCUAGUGCCACAAGCCAUAUAUAACAUGUCCAUGCUAGACCUCAUGAUAUUAUCGAACAACAACCUUACUGGUACGAUUCCAGACAACCAAAGUUUUAUCCUCCCAAUGUUGCAAGUGCUUGACCUCUCCGAAAAUAAAUUUCAGGGACGAAUUUCAUCAGGGCUUGCAUCGUCUCAUUACUUAGUAGGAUUGUCUUUGGCAGACAAUUCUUUUGUGGAUGUUGUGCCAUUGUGGUUAGUUGAACUACAUCACCUAGAAAGUAUUUCACUGGGUGGAAAUAACCUUGUUGGCUUGAUCCCAGCCGCUCUUAGCAAUCUCACUAGCCUUACUAUGCUAGACCUCUCUGGCUGCAACCUUACAGGACACAUCCCACCAGAGUUGGGAUUAAUGCAAAAACUCUCCUUUCUGCAUCUUGGAACAAAUCAACUUACCGGAACAAUUCAAUCUUCUCUUGGGAAUUUGUCCAUGUUGUCUCUCCUAGCUUUUGAAGAAAAUAAAUUAUCAGGCUCAGUACCUUCAACACUUGGGAACAUUGCAAGUUUAGAGGAGCUUCACCUGCAAAACAACAAUUUAGAUGGAAGUAUUAUGGAGCUUUUUUCAGCUCUUUGUAACUGUAGAAACGUCCAACUGAUUAACAUAGGAGUGAACUCUUUCACGGGUGCCCUCUCUGACCAACUGGGAAACCUCUCUUCACGAUUGGUAACUUUAACUCCAGCUUACAACAAAUUAGUAGGUGGACUUCCGGCAACAAUUUCAAACAUAAGCGGUCUUGAGUGGUUAGAUCUUUCUAACAACCUACUCACUGAGCCAAUCCCGGAAUCCAUCACUACACUGAAAAAUCUCGUGUGGCUUGACCUCUCUAGUAAUGACAUGUUCGGCACUAUCCCAACAGAAAUAGGCAUGCUUUGGAAUCUACAACGGUUGUUUCUCCAAAGAAAUAAUUUUUCUGGCUCUAUACCAAGAAGCUUGGGUAAUCUUAGUAAGUUAGAGAAAACGGACCUGUCCAAGAAUCAGUUAAGUUCUAUAAUACCGGCAAGACUAUUCGGCCUUGGUAAACUUAUUGAACUAAAUCUUUCAUAUAACUUUCUUGUUGGUGCACUGCCGGCAGAUGUUUCCGGGUUAAUACAAAUAUACCAAAUGGACCUUUCUUCUAACUCCUUUCUAGCAAGCAUCCCAGAAUCAAUGGGGCAACUUAAGAUGCUAAUGUACCUAAAUCUAUCGCACAACUUGUUCGGAGGCCCGAUGCCAGACUCACUUCAAAAGUUAACUAGCUUAGCAUCCUUAGACCUCUCCUUCAACAACCUCUCUGGUUCCAUUCCAAUAUACCUUGCAAGCUUAACCGACUUGACUACCAUGAACCUCUCAUUCAAUAGGUUGGCAGGCCAAAUACCAGAGGGAGGUGUUUUCUCAAACAUCACAUUGAAAUCUUUGAUUGGGAAUGUUGGGCUGUGCGGCGCUCCACGCCUAGGAUUUUUGCCAUGUCUUGACAGACCUCGUUCAAAUAAUAUACACUGGCUAAAAUUUCUACUCCCAGCUUCCAUGGUAGCUUCUGGCAGUAUUGCUAUUUGCUUAUGGUUGUGGAUCAGAAAGAAACAUAAGCAUGAGGGUGAGGUCAAAAUUGAUGGUGAUCCAUCCGAUGGCAUAGUCCACCAGAUAGUCUCUUAUCAUGAGCUCAUUCGGGCCACAGACAAUUUCAGUGAGGACAAUUUGUUGGGAAGUGGAAGCUUUGGGAAAGUCUUCAAGGGACAAGUGAGUGGUUUGGUGGUUGCGAUAAAAGUGCUUGACAUGCAGCUGGAGCAGGCCAAGAGAAGCUUUGAUACUGAGUGUCGUGUGCUCCGCAUGGCGCGACACCGCAACCUGAUACAGAUACUCAAUACAUGUUCCAACCUAGACUUCAGAGCACUUGUGCUUCCAUACAUGCCAAAUGGCAGUUUAGAGAUGCUGCUACACCGGUCUCAGAGUACACUGCCCUUGGGGUUUCUUGAAAGGAUCAACAUCAUGCUCGAUGUGUCGAUGGCAAUGGAGUACCUACACUUCGAGCACUAUGAGGUGAUACUGCACUGUGACUUGAAACCUAGCAAUGUGUUGUUCGAUAUGGACAUGACUGCUCAUGUGGCAGACUUCGGCAUUGCAAGGUUACUUCUAGGCAAUGACAACUCCAUGAUAUGUGCGAGUAUGCCUGGAACAGUUGGUUACAUGGCACCAGAGUAUGGCUCUUUUGGAAAGGCAUCACGAAAGAGUGACGUGUUCAGCUACGGGAUCAUGCUCCUUGAAGUAUUCACCAGGAAAAGACCCAUUGAUGCUAUGUUUGGGCAUGAACUAACUCUUAGGCAGUGGGUCCACACUGCAUUUCCUGCAGAGCUUGUGAGUGUCAUUGACAACCAGCUACUCCAAGGCUCCUCUUCUUCUAGUUGCAACCUUGUUGAAGGAUUUCUUGUGCCGAUAUUCGAGUUGGGUUUGCUCUGCUCUAGCGGCAUGCCUAACCAGAGAAUGACGAUAAGAGAUGUGGUGGUGAGGUUGAAGAAGAUCAAAGUAGAGUACACCAAACAAGCAGCAUCAGCAUCACGUAGUAGUGCAGCAUAG
rnacentral:rRNA from 1 species